GACGAACCGUGCGACCGUUGUUCGGAUUCACUGGGCUUAAAGGGCGCGUAGGCGGGCGGUCAAGUCGGGGGUGAAAUCUUUCAGCUUAACUGGAAAAGUGCCUCCGAUACUGAUCGCCUCGAGGGAGGUAGGGGCGUGCGGAACUUCCGGUGGAGCGGUGAAAUGCGUAGAUAUCGGAAGGAACACCGGUGGCGAAAGCGGCGCGCUGGAUCUCUUCUGACGCUGAGGCGCGAAAGCCAGGGGAGCAAACGGG
rnacentral:rRNA from 1 species